ACUAAAUUAAUUAUUUUGUAAAUUUUCGGCCGAAUUAUUUGUUUAUGUUCCUAAUGAUUUUAUUAACCGAUCCUACUACAAACAACUAAUUUUCUCUCGCAGAUUGUAAUAUAUUAUCGAGUUAAAAAAUUUAUAUAAAAAAAAAUCAAGUAUUGGGAAAGUUCUCUAGUAAUACUGAAUAAUACCUAGGAAUGUUAUAAUAAGACAUAUCAGAAAAGACAGAUCCACAGAAAGGAGCAUUAUUAAUAAUACACCCCAGCACAUAAAGACCGCCCAAAAGGAGAGACAUGGGUCACCCCUAUAUAAUCCUGCUGUUUGAGAUUGGCCUUCUAUUAUCCGAUUAAAAACGCGAUUUAGUACUACACAUCAGCACACUGUCGCCCAGAGGCCGAACAGGCAGGGAUAUUAUAGGAUCCUGGAUAUUAUUAGGGAAUUUUACGUAAGUAAAUUUUACCGAUGGUGUCCCGACGGAUUGGAUCAAAGGGUGGCGCUCCAGGACGCGACGCGGCCUUCUUCCGAAGAGGAGUCCUGAAUCGUCUCCCGAACUUGAUGUUGUCUUAUGAAAUCCUAUGUAGCAUGCGAUGGUAGGUCGCUCGAUGAUCUCAGAUGCGGCUGUUUAAUUGGGAUCGGGAGUUGACUGGUAAGACAAAAUCAUCGAAAAGGAUCAAAUCUGCAGAAGCAACCACACCUCGGACGCGACGAAGAAUUUUUUUGUUCUGCAUCUGCCUGACGUCGAUUUAUGGGUAGAUAUUAGGGACAGAGAGGGUAGCAUACCCCAGCUAAAACCAAAUAAAGAUAAUUCGAGUUCGUGAUGCGUUUAAGUCAAAGAAUAUUCCAGAUGAACUAUUGCAAUACGCGUGUGAUUGGUCCUAAAGCUUCUUCGGAUUCUCCCAGGCACCAUCGAAUACCUGGUGACGUGUUAAGUACUAACUCAAGAGGAGUUGGAACAUUCCCCAUGCCCAAAUGCAGCUUCAAGUAACUGUCUUUUGUCUUUUCGUCUUUUAAUUAUAAUGGGACUGAAGAAAUACCGGCGAAUUGAUAUGGUGAUAAAGCAGCUCAGCCCUUAAAUGAAACCUCACGCAUAUGAAGAACUAAUUUGUAGCAAAGAGUACUUAUUUUAAUUAAUUUCUUAAUGAUGCUAAUGUAUUAUUUUAUAUACAGGGUAUCCCAGAAAUAAGUGCAAGUAUUUUAAGGAGUGAUAGAUCUCGAUAAAAGAAACAUAUUUUCUCGUUAUCGUUUUUCAAAUAAAUCC
rnacentral:lncRNA from 1 species